rnacentral:rRNA from 1 species
AACGAACGCUGGCGGCAUGCCUAACACAUGCAAGUCGAACGAGACCUUCGGGUCUAGUGGCGCACGGGUGCGUAACGCGUGGGAACCUGCCCUUAGGUUCGGAAUAACUCCCCGAAAGGGGUGCUAAUACCGGAUAAUGUCUUCGGACCAAUGAUUUAUCGCCUUUGGAUGGGCACGCGUUGGAUUAGCUAGUUGGUAGGGUAAAAGCCUACCAAGGCGACGAUCCAUAGCUGGUCUGAGAGGAUGAUCAGCCACACUGGGACUGAGACACGGCCCAGACUCCUACGGGAGGCAGCAGUGGGGAAUAUUGGACAAUGGGCGAAAGCCUGAUCCAGCAAUGCCGCGUGAGUGAUGAAGGCCUGAGGGUUGUAAAGCGCUUUUACCCGGGAUGAUAAUGACAGUACCGGGAGAAUAAGCUCCGGCUAACUCCGUG